CAGAGCUCUUGCUUGACAUGUUUCAACAAAACUCUUCUCAAUGCUGCAACAGCUGCGCGACGGCCUUGAUACGAUCUUACCAAAGUCAUGCAGGAGUGUCACAAUCUCUUCGUCAUGACAGUGUUGACUCCCAUUACAUUUUAUCCCACCUGGCCUCAGAGAUGAGCCCAAAUGGUUCGAUUAAACAAGUGAAAGAGUCAAAAAUCAAGAGAUUUUAAGCUUGAAGACACACAACCAGAAGAUGGGCAGCAGGAGAAACCUUGUCUGUCCUGAAGAUAAUGCAGUGAAUGGCAUCUGCUUGGAUCAGAAAGGGAGAAAUUGAGUUAUUAAAUUUGACCACUGCUGUCUUUAGCAUAUGCCAAACCACACUGUGUUACCCAACUGUCAGCGCUUGCACUAUACCAUAACAUUUCCUGAAGUCCAUAUGGUAGAUUAUGAGUCUUUCAAAACACUUCUGGAAACUGCUGUUACAUGUGGAGCGAGCUCUGACAGAGUGUAGCAAAUUUGCUGAAAUUGUCUACUGUAGAAACCUGCAGUUUCAUUGAUUCAUGUAUACCAAACCAUUAUGUUCACUCUUUACUUUACUCUUUGGAAUGAUUUUAAAUGCAUGCAAGGCAAAAUAAUAUAAAUUUGUAUUUGGUGUACAUAAAAAAAAAAAAAAAAAAAUCAAGUAUCUAUUAUCAAGUAUUAUUAUUAAGUAUCUGGCUGGCACAUGUACAGUGCAAUAGCAAUCCAUUCAAAUAUAAAUCGACAAGGUGUUUUAUUCA